AUUGAACGCUGGCGGCAUGCCUUACACAUGCAAGUCGAACGGCAGCACGGGAGCAAUCCUGGUGGCGAGUGGCGAACGGGUGAGUAAUAUAUCGGAACGUGCCCAGUCGUGGGGGAUAACGUAGCGAAAGCUACGCUAAUACCGCAUACGAUCUACGGAUGAAAGCGGGGGAUCGCAAGACCUCGCGCGAUUGGAGCGGCCGAUAUCAGAUUAGGUAGUUGGUGAGGUAAAGGCUCACCAAGCCGACGAUCUGUAGCUGGUCUGAGAGGACGACCAGCCACACUGGGACUGAGACACGGCCCAGACUCCUACGGGAGGCAGCAGUGGGAAUUUUGGACAAUGGACGCAAGUCUGAUCCAGCCAUUCCGCGUGCAGGAUGAAGGCCCUACGGGUUGUAAACUGCUUUUGUACGGAACGAAAGGUUCUAUUAAUACUAGGAGGCUCAUGACGGUA
rnacentral:rRNA from 1 species